rnacentral:rRNA from 1 species
AACGAACGCUGGCGGCAGGCCUAACACAUGCAAGUCGAACGAGAAGCUUGGCUUCGGCCGAGUGGAAAGUGGCGGACGGGUGAGUAACGCGUGGGAACGUGCCCCUCGGUUCGGAACAACCCUUGGAAACAAGGGCUAAUACCGGAUACGUCCGUGAGGAGAAAGAUUUAUCGCCGAGGGAUCGGCCCGCGUUGGAUUAGCUUGUUGGUGGGGUAACGGCCCCCCAAGGCGACGAUCCAUAGCUGGUCUGAGAGGAUGAUCAGCCACACUGGGACUGAGACACGGCCCAGACUCCUACGGGAGGCAGCAGUAGGGAAUCUUCCACAAUGGACGAAAGUCUGAUGGAGCAACGCCGCGUGAGUGAAGAAGGUUUUCGGAUCGUAAAGCCCUUUUCUGUGUGACGAUAAUGACGGUAGCACAGGAAGAAGUGUCGGCUAACUACGUG